CCUGAGAAACCCAAAAGAUCGAAUGGGGAGAUUCAUCGUCAGCGGCGCUGGCUUCCGUGCGGCGCGCGAUGGCGGGGACCUCGGUCUCGCGUCACGCCGCCGCUGCGGCAUGCCCGGCGUCGUCGGCGUGCACUUCUCCCCUAGUAGGACGUCGCGACCCGUUGGGUGUCGGAUCGAUGGCCGGUCGGUCGUCUGUCGUGCUCUCGCGCUUCAGACCGUCCGGUCGAACGUCCGACUGCCCGGCGGUAUCGAACGUUGAAAACUGGUACUGGGCCGCAUUCAGUGCGUUCCUGGCUCGUCGGCAGGCUCGUCUCGCUCGGAUUUACGGACCUAGCGCCGUUGCCGGGCGCUUGGCGUCGGCCGUUAGUCGGCGAUGUCCUCGGACUGGCUCUUACCGGUCUGCAACGCUACUGCUUUGGGUACUUUC
rnacentral:rRNA from 1 species